GAGAAAGACUUUGAUCAUCUGAACAGUUGGAAGCUUUCACAAUGAAUUACGCAGCCGCCUGGAUUUUAUUAUUUCUCGUCAAUAUUCAUGACGUCUGGAGUGAGAUCAGACUGGAGCAGUCUCCAUCUGAGGUGAAAAGACCUGGAGAGACAGUGAAGAUCUCAUGUAUCACAUCUGGUUAUAGGAUGACAAGUUAUGCUGUGAGCUGGAUAAAACAAAAGUCAGGAGAAGCUCUGGAGUGGAUUGGGGUGAU